AAAUUGAAGAGUUUGAUCAUGGCUCAGAUUGAACGCUGGCGGCAGGCCUAACACAUGCAAGUCGAACGGUAACAGGAAGCAGCUUGCUGCUUUGCUGACGAGUGGCGGACGGGUGAGUAAUGUCUGGGAAACUGCCUGAUGGAGGGGGAUAACUACUGGAAACGGUGGCUAAUACCGCAUAACGUCGCAAGACCAAAGAGGGGGACCUUCGGGCCUCUUGCCAUCAGAUGUGCCCAGAUGGGAUUAGCUUGUUGGUGAGGUAACGGCUCACCAAGGCGACGAUCCCUAGCUGGUCUGAGAGGAUGACCAGCCACACUGGAACUGAGACACGGUCCAGACUCCUACGGGAGGCAGCAGUGGGGAAUAUUGCACAAUGGGCGCAAGCCUGAUGCAGCCAUGCCGCGUGUAUGAAGAAGGCCUUCGGGUUGUAAAGUACUUUCAGCGGGGAGGAAGGUGUUGCGGUUAAUAACCGCAGCAAUUGACGUUACCCGCAGAAGAAGCACCGGCUAACUCCGUGCCAGCAGCCGCGGUAAUACGGAGGGUGCAAGCGUUAAUCGGAAUUACUGGGCGUAAAGCGCACGCAGGCGGUCUGUCAAGUCGGAUGUGAAAUCCCCGGGCUCAACUUGGGAACUGCAUUCGAAACUGGCAGGCUUGAGUCUUGUAGAGGGGGGUAGAAUUCCAGGUGUAGCGGUGAAAUGCGUAGAGAUCUGGAGGAAUACCGGUGGCGAAGGCGGCCCCCUGGACAAAGACUGACGCUCAGGUGCGAAAGCGUGGGGAGCAAACAGGAUUAGAUACCCUGGUAGUCCACGCCGUAAACGAUGUCUACUUGGAGGUUGUGCCCUUGAGGCGUGGCUUCCGGAGCUAACGCGUUAAGUAGACCGCCUGGGGAGUACGGCCGCAAGGUUAAAACUCAAAUGAAUUGACGGGGGCCCGCACAAGCGGUGGAGCAUGUGGUUUAAUUCGAUGCAACGCGAAGAACCUUACCUGGUCUUGACAUCCACGGAAGUUUUCAGAGAUGAGAAUGUGCCUUCGGG
rnacentral:rRNA from 1 species